rnacentral:rRNA from 1 species
ACUACGGGUGGCAGCAGUGAGGAAUAUUGGUCAAUGGGCGUAAGCCUGAACCAGCCAAGUCGCGUGAGGGAUGAAGGUUCUAUGGAUCGUAAACCUCUUUUAUAAGGGAAUAAAGUGUGGGACGUGUCCUAUUUUGUAUGUACCUUAUGAAUAAGGAUCGGCUAACUCCGUGCCAGCAGCCGCGGUAAUACGGAGGAUGCGAGCGUUAUCCGGAUUUAUUGGGUUUAAAGGGUGCGUAGGCGGGUUAUCAAGUCAGCGGUAAAAUCGUGGAGCUCAACUCCAUCCAGCCGUUGAAACUGAUGAUCUGGAGUGGGCGAGAAGUAUGCGGAAUGCGUGGUGUAGCGGUGAAAUGCAUAGAUAUCACGCAGAACUCCGAUUGCGAAGGCAGCAUACCGGCGCCCGACUGACGCUGAAGCACGAAAGCGUGGGUAUCGAACAGGAUUAGAUACCCCUGUAGUC